GCAUUUUCUUCUUCGUCUUCUUCCUCCCAAUGUGAUUUUCUUCUUCACCAUGAAAAAUCAAGUUUUUUUUCUUUUUUUCUUUCCUUGCCUUUCUUUUCUUACUUCUUCCUUCUUCUACCCCCUUGUGCACCAAACCCACAACUUUCAACCUCAUUUUUUAGCACAACCAAACCUAGACAGGGGAAAGAAAAAAAAAUCUCUCAUUCUUUUCUUUAUUUUCCAUUUCUACUCCACCUUCAUCAACACUUGAACUUUCAGCUUUAGAUCUUUAUUUUUAAAGCCAUAAGGUUUCUAUUGAUCUGAAUACCUCUAAGCUCAUCCAGUUUUCAAGAUCGAAGGUAGUUGGAUCCUAGGUCGAGGUGCUUCUUCCUAUUCAUCUUUCGGUAGGUUCACUAUGACUCUCAAUGAUAGCACCCACGCCCAGAGUCACUCCGCUGGUAGUUAAGGGUCUUUGUAUGUAUAUAUGGUAGUUUAAAUGUAAAUUGUGAGAUUUGUUGUAAACACUGUAUGUGUAGUUUGAUAAAUAUUGUCCCCAUAGGAUGGCAUGCAAUAAUACUAUUUGAGAAUGAUACAUGCUUGGUUGUCACAAUUGAUUCCUAAAGGAAUUAUUAUUGAAAAUUAUGAACUGUGGAUUUUAAAAAAAUA